AAUGCCCCUCGUAGUGUUUCCAGAGUGAAUGUUUUAUCGCAUGUGCUUCAGUAGGUGGGAGAGAAGAGAAAGAUUAUGGCUAUGUUCAGUGUUAUGAACUAGGAAUAUCUGAAAGACCACUAACCUAACAUU
ensembl:snoRNA Gm25976 small nucleolar RNA SNORA17